UUCUUUUCAUUUCUCUAGAAUGUUUGAAACAGCAAAGUUCGAAAAGUAAAACCCCAAAAUUUUUGUAAUUUUUGUAAUACAAAAUUUCCUUAUUUUUUUCUUUUUUUUUAAUGUGAAAUAAAAGUCAUGAAUCUUUACCGUGUAAUCAAGGCUUUGGGUAGGCCAACAACAAAAGAAAUUAUUUCUAAUGAAAUCGAUAAGCAUGUCAACAAAUGUACAAAUAAUUUGAAUGGAUUACUAAACAAUCUUAAUACAACGCUGGAAGAGAAUCUGCAUUUGCGAGUUUUGUCACUUGUUUACAAUAAAAACAAAACAAAAACCCUGAAUCAACCGAAAAACAAUUAAUGGUCUUUCAACUUGAAGGCUAAAAUUUUCCUAUUCUUUCUCCAUGGCUAACAAAAUGACAUUAUGGCUCUUCAUUUCUUAAAAUGAUCUUGUUAAAGCUUUCUAAUCAACUGCUACUAGAAUUCAUAUGAGACAGGAAAGUAAACUCCUUCUUGCCACAAUUGAAUUUGAUUACUUUGGAUGCAUUGGCCCAAUACGACUUAAACACAUUUCAAAAAUGCGACAAUUUUUCUUAACUGGAUUUUUUAUACAAAAUUCUUAUUCAAAUUUAUGGUUUACCGAAAAACAUUUUAGACUACCGAAAAUUAAAUGUUAUAAUUGUAAGUGAAA